AUUGAACGCUGGCGGCAUGCCUUACACAUGCAAGUCGAACGGUAACAGGUCUUCGGAUGCUGACGAGUGGCGAACGGGUGAGUAAUACAUCGGAACGUGCCCGAUCGUGGGGGAUAACGGAGCGAAAGCUUUGCUAAUACCGCAUACGAUCUACGGAUGAAAGCAGGGGACCGCAAGGCCUUGCGCGGACGGAGCGGCCGAUGGCAGAUUAGGUAGUUGGUGGGAUAAAAGCUUACCAAGCCGACGAUCUGUAGCUGGUCUGAGAGGACGACCAGCCACACUGGGACUGAGACACGGCCCAGACUCCUACGGGAGGCAGCAGUGGGGAAUUUGGACAAUGGGCGAAAGCCUGAUCCAGCCAUGCCGCGUGCAGGAUGAAGGCCUUCGGGUUGUAAACUGCUUUGUACGGAACGAAAGACUCCUUCUAAUAAAGGGGUUCAUGACGGUACCGUAAGAAUAAGCACCGGCUAACUACGUGCCAGCAGCCGCGGUAAAAGUGU
rnacentral:rRNA from 1 species